ACCUGUUUGUAAAGCUUCAAUAUGGGGGUCAAGCCUGAAACUUUGCCCUAGACCUCAAAAAAACAUCUGAGAUACAUUGUCUCGUGACAUUAUGUGAAGUUUUCCCGAAUUUUGUUCAGAAUUCUAAGAGAUUUUCGUUUACAAACGCUAGUUUUAGCACAAAAUUAAUAUAGUUUAAUUAUAGUUUAAAAUUAAAAACGAGAUUUUUCUAGCGUUUGAAAAUUUUGAUAGGAAAUAUUUCCGGCUUAAAAAAAUUCGGUGGGAUUAAUUUUCACUUGCCCUCAAACCACUCGAUUUGUUUCAAUAUUCAUAUUUUUCUCCUACGGAGGAGACUUUCCUUCCCAUCAUGCCCAGCAAGGCAUGUGCCAACAAAAUUUUUCACUUUGAAAACAACAUGGCUUCCAAGAAAAUUAUUAUCGACAACUGGUGUACUUAUCCCAGUGGAAAUAUCCUACACAAUCACCUUCGCGGCAACUGAAGAUAACCAAUAAUUUUAUGAAGAUCAAAACACAUGGCUACGGAAGAUUGUGUAUGAAUGACGAGGGACGUGGCAAAACGUGCAAAUAUAUCAACAGUCAUUUUACCAGAAGGCAACAGAAAAGGCCAUGACAACUUGCAAAGUUUCAUAAAACAAAACUUAGAAGUGCAUUUUGUUAGUAACUACAAUAAGGUAUACGAAAUAGCACUGAAUUAUUCGCAAAGCAAUGCAGAGCAAGACAACAGCUCGUAUAAUUAUGUAUAUUAUUAUUAGCUAUUUACUUCCGAUUUAAUUCUAUAAAACAUUAAAAUUGGGUAUUUUACAAUUUUAAAUGUAAAUCUCAAAACCUGCCUAUAACCUUAACCGAGUAUAUUUAGUAUCAGCUUUAGAUAAUAGCCAUGGAGAAGUAUGUAAUUAAUCAAGAAAAUGAGAUUUGUAGGCAAAAUAAACGGAAAAAAAGCCCAGUGUUUCUAAUUUAUUUUUAAGCAAAACAAAUUUUUUUCCAGAUUUUUUUUAGAUCCGGGCAACCAGUUAUAUUUUCAAGGCAGUGAAAGAAAUUUGUUUGUUGAUUAUUAGUUAUUUUGCUUUCCUCUUUCCAAUACCAAAAAUUCCAAUUUUCGAAGUAAAUUCUCCAAAUAACAAGAUGAAUGUCCCUUCCAACACCACGCGAUAACGUUUCCAUCUUUCAAUCGGCUAGUCUUCCCUUUGUUCUUUCACUAGAUCAUUUUGCUUAAAGGAAAACAAAGGAUUGAGUUAGGGCUACUCCAUAGAAUAUAAAAACUACAAUGAUUAAACAAGUGUGGAUUAUACACAGGUUUUUAUGGUCCUCGUAAUGAUUUACAAGAAUUACAUCCCGCAGGUAGACUUUUUAUCCAUUAAGUAGAUGGUAUACAGUUAAUCCGUACUUUAUAUAUGUAUAAAUUUCAUCUGUAUUAGCGAAUGCGAGAGAAAAAUAUGAGUCUGACGAGCGAGGUCUGACGUCAUCCUUGAGUGAUUUCUCCGCAACUUUUAUGCCUUGGCAACUUUUGAUAUCUCAUUUUAUCAAAAUUUCAUUCACAGGGUUUUUCUAAAAAAUUUUAGAUAGUUACAGCUACAUCAAAUUUAUUCUUCCCCAACAAUUUAACUUAAGGCAGUUCUUUGUCAACAUGGAUUCUUCUUCUCAAUUUUUUAGUAUUGUCAAUUUUUGCGUCCGUACUAAAUGUCGCCGUUUUCUUUAUCUUUUUAGCUAGCUUUUUCUUUAAAAUGUAAUUAGUGCCUCUGAUUUUCCAUAUGGCCAAAAAGCAGUUGUUUGAAAACAGUAAAGAUAUCUUCUUUCGUCAACACGUAUCGACGAAGGAGCUUUACUACCCAGAAUGCUAUUCGCCUUUCGUGUGAUUAAAAACAUGGCUUCGAAGAAAGUUGUUUUCGUCAUAAGCGGCUCACGUGUUAUAGUUAUUCCAAGAAAAUUUAUAUUUACUAUGCGACAAGAUGUUGGAUAAAUAUAUUGUAAUGCUGAACAGUUAAAGGCCGAAGAGUCAUGGAUAUUUGCAUCCUGCUUUGACUUUGUGGUGUUUUGUCGUGAUUGGAAAACUUUGGAACCAAAAGCCAGGGCUGACAAAUUCCUCUUCAAAGUUCAUCAAUAUAGCCAGUUGAUGCUUUGAACACCUAGAAAUUGGAUAUGAAUGGGAUCUGGACUAAAACCUUCAUAAGAACUUGUAUGACUUUUGCAGGUAUGUCGGUUCCCUUUCCUUCAAAUUCCAAACUUACAAACUUAAAUUGCAUGGAUCCUUGUGCUUUUAUUCUGAAGUGCAGACCUUUAAUUCUGAAGUGUCAACCUUAUACUUUCUAAGGAACAUUUUUUUUUCAAAUUACCAUUAUAUUUCAAAAUGUAUUUUUUCCUUGAGAAUUAAAUUCUAUUCAUGACUUACUAUACGUUACUUUUGAUGAAAAGUUUCUUACUGUUGUUAGCUUUGUAAAAAUAAUUCUCUAAAAACCUUCUAUAUUUUUGUUUCCUUCCGCAUGAAUUUCUCUUUCUAACUUACUGCUGGUAGCUCUUUUGAAAAGCUUCUCUAAAAACCACUUUUAUUUUUAUUUCCUUGCGUAUUAACUUUCGUUUAUCACUUACUAUAACUUACUCUGCUUUUGAGUUUCUCAAAAAGCCAACAUGUCAAUUUUUAUUGCCAAGUUGCUGUAGGGAGCUUUCCGUUAGAGUUUCUCUAAAAUCCUUCGUUCUCUUUAUUUUACUGCCUGCCAAUUUUUCAUGCUACGUGCCUGUACGGAGUUUUGCUUUAGAGUUUCUCUAAAAUCCUUCGUUCUCUUUUUUUACUGUAUGUCAAUUUUUAUUGCUAUUUUCCUGUAGGGAGCUUUGCUUUAGAAUUCCCCUAAGACCCUUCGUGCUCUUUAUUUUACUGCCUGCCAAUUUUUCAUGCUUCGUUGCUGUAGGGAGUUUUGCUUUAGAGUUUCUCUAAAAUCCUUCUUUCUCUUUAUUUUACUGCCUGCCAAUUUUUGAUGCUUCGUUGCUGUAGGGAGCUUUGCUUUAGAGUUUCUCUAAAAUCCUUCUUUCUCUUUAUUUUACUGCCUGCCAAUUUUUCAUGCUUCGUUGCUGUAGGGAGUUUUGCUUUAGAGUUUCUCUAAAAUCCUUCUUUCUCUUUAUUUUACUGCCUGUUCAUUCUUAUUGCUACGUUCCUGUAGGGAGCUUUGCUUUAGAGUUUCUCUAAAAUCCUUCGUUCUCUUUAUUUUACUGUAUGUCAAUUUUUAUUGAUAUGUUCCUAUAAGGAGCUUUCCUUUAGAGUUUCUCUAAAAUCCUUCGUUCUCUUUAUUCUACUGCCUGACAAUUUUUAUUGCUAUGUUCCUAUAGGGAGCUUUGCUUUAAAGUUUCCCUAAGAUCCUUCGUUGUUUUUACUUUAAGCCUGUAAAUUAUUAUUGCUACGUUGCUGUAGGAAGCUUUCUUUUAGAGGUUCUCUAAAAUCCUUCGUUGUUCUUUUAUUGCCUGUCAAUUUUAUUGCUACGUUCCUGUAGGGAGCUUUACGUUAGAGUUUCUCAAAAAUCCUUCGUUCUUUUUAUUUUACUGCCUGUCAAUUUUUCUUGCUACGUUGCUGUAGGAAGCUUUGCUUUAGAGUUUCUCUAAAAUCCCUCUUUCUUUUCAUUUUACUGCCUGUCAAUUCUUAUUGCUACGUUCCUGUAGGGAGCUUUGCUUUAGAGUUUCUCUAAAAUCCUUCGUUCUCUUUAUUUUACUGUAUGUCAAUUUUUAUUGAUAUGUUCCUAUAAGGAGCUUUCCUUUAGAGGUUCUCUAAAAUCCUUCGUUCUCUUUAUUUUACUGCCUGCCAAUUUUUCAUUCUACAUUCCUGUACGGAGUUUUGCUUUAAAGUUUCUCUAAAAUCUUUCGUUUUCUUUUUUUAACUGUCUGUCAAUUUUUAUUGCUACGUUGCUGUAGGGAGCUUUGCUUUAGAAUUUCCCUAAGACCCUUCGUUCUCUUUAUUUUACUGCCUGCCAUAUUUUCAUGCUACGUUGCUGUAGGGAGCUUUGCUUUAGAGUUUCUCUAAAAUCUUUCGUUCUCUUUUUUUACUGUAUGUCAAUUUUUAUUGCUAUGUUCCUAUAGGGUGCGUUGCUUUAGAGUUUCUCUAAAAUCCUUCGUUCUCUUUAUUUUACUGCCUGACAAUUUUUAUUGAUAUGUUCCUAUAAGGAGCUUUCCUUUAGAGGUUCUCUAAAAUCCUUCGUUCUCUUUAUUUUACUGCCUGCCAAUUUUUCAUUCUACAUUCCUGUACGGAGCUUUGCUUUAAAGUUUCUCUAAAAUAUUUCGUUUUCUUUUUUUAACUGUAUGUCAAUUUUUAUUGAUAUGUUCCUAUAAGGAGCUUUCCUUUAGAGUUUCUCUAAAAUCCUUUGUUGUUCUUUUAUUGCCUGUCAAUUUUAUUGCUAGGUUCCUGUAGGGAGCUUUACGUUAGAGUUUCUCAAAAAUCCUUCGUUCUUUUUAUUUUACUGCCUGACAAUUUUUAUUGAUAUGUUCCUAUAAGGAGCUUUGCUUUAGAGUUUCUCUAAAAUCCUUCGUUCUCUUUAUUUUACUGCCUGACACUUUUUAUUGAUAUGUUCCUAUAAGGAGCUUUGCUUUAGAGUUUCUCUAAAAUCCUUCGUUCUCUUUAUUUUACUGCCUGCCAUAUUUUCAUGCUACGUUGCUGUAGGGAGCUUUGCUUUAGAGUUUCUCUAAAAUAUUUCGUUCUCUUUUUUUACUGUAUGUCAAUUUUUAUUGCUAUGUUCCUAUAGGGAGCGUUGCUUUAGAGUUUCUCUAAAAUCCUUCGUUCUCUUUAUUUUACUGCCUGACAAUUUUUAUUGAUAUGUUCCUAUAAGGAGCUUUCCUUUAGAGGUUCUCUAAAAUCCUUCGUUCUCUUUAUUUUACUGCCUGCCAAUUUUUCAUUCUACAUUCCUGUACGGAGCUUUGCUUUAAAGUUUCUCUAAAAUCUUUCGUUUUCUUUUUUUAACUGUAUGUCAAUUUUUAUUGAUAUGUUCCUAUAAGGAGCUUUCCUUUAGAGUUUCUCUAAAAUCCUUCGUUGUUCUUUUAUUGCCUGUCAAUUUUAUUGCUAGGUUCCUGUAGGGAGCUUUACGUUAGAGUUUCUCAAAAAUCCUUCGUUCUUUUUAUUUUACUGCCUGUCAAUUUUUAUUGAUAUGUUCCUAUAAGGAGCUUUCCUUUAGAGUUUCUCUAAAAUCCUUCGUUCUCUUUAUUUUACUGCCUGAUAAUUUUUAUUGCUAUGUUCCUAUAGGGAGCUUUGCUUUAAAGUUUCCCUAAGAUCCUUCGUUGUUUUUACUUUAAGCCUGUAAAUUAUUAUUGCUACGUUGCUGUAGGAAGCUUUCUUUUAGAGGUUCUCUAAAAUCCUUCGUUGUUCUUUUAUUGCCUGUCAAUUUUUCUUGCUACGUUGCUGUAGGAAGCUUUCCUUUAGAGCUUCUCUAAAAUCCUUCGUUUUCUUUAUUUUACUGCCUGUCAAUUCUUAUUGCUACGUUCCUGUAGGGAGCUUUGCUUUAGAGUUUCUCUAAAAUCCUUCGUUCUCUUUAUUUUACUGUAUGUCAAUUUUUAUUGAUAUGUUCCUAUAAGGAGCUUUCCUUUAGAGGUUCUCUAAAAUCCUUCGUUCUCUUUAUUUUACUGCCUGACAAUUUUUAUUGCUAUGUUCCUAUAGGGAGCUUUGCUUUAAAGUUUCCCUAAGAUCCUUUUUUAUCGUUAUUUUACUGCCUGUCAAUUUUUAUUGCUAUGUUCCUAUAAGGAGUUUUGCUUUGAAUUUCUCUAAAAUCCUUCGUUCUCUUUAUUUCAUUGCCUGUCAAUUUUUAUUGUUACGUUCCUGUAGGGAGCUUUGCUUUGGAGUUUCUCUAAAAUCCUUCGUUCUCUUUAUUUUACUGCCUGUUAAUUUUUAUUGCUAUGUUCCUGUAGGGAGCUUUGCUUUAAAGUUUCCCUAAGAUCCUUCGUUGUUUUUACUUUAAGCCUGUAAAUUAUUAUUGCUACGUUGCUGUAGGAAGCUUUCUUUUAGAGGUUCUCUAAAAUCCUUCGUUGUUCUUUUAUUGCCUGUCAAUUUUAUUGCUAGGUUCCUGUAGGGAGCUUUACGUUAGAGUUUCUCAAAAAUCCUUCGUUCUUUUUAUUUUACUGCCUGUCAAUUUUUAUUGAUAUGUUCCUAUAAGGAGCUUUCCUUUAGAGUUUCUCUAAAAUCCUUCGUUCUCUUUAUUUUACUGCCUGAUAAUUUUUAUUGCUAUGUUCCUAUAGGGAGCUUUGCUUUAAAGUUUCCCUAAGAUCCUUCGUUGUUUUUACUUUAAGCCUGUAAAUUAUUAUUGCUACGUUGCUGUAGGAAGCUUUCUUUUAGAGGUUCUCUAAAAUCCUUCGUUGUUCUUUUAUUGCCUGUCAAUUUUUCUUGCUACGUUGCUGUAGGAAGCUUUCCUUUAGAGCUUCUCUAAAAUCCUUCGUUUUCUUUAUUUUACUGCCUGUCAAUUCUUAUUGCUACGUUCCUGUAGGGAGCUUUGCUUUAGAGUUUCUGUAAAAUCCUUCGUUCUCUUUAUUUUACUGCCUGCCAAUUUUUCAUUCUACAUUCCUGUACGGAGCUUUGCUUUAGAAUUUCUCUAAAAUCCUUCGUUUUCUUUUUUUACUGUAUGUCAAUUUUUAUUGCUGUGUUCCUGUAGGGAGCUUUGCUUUAAAGUUUCCCUAUGAUCCUCUGUUCUUUUUAUUUUAAGCCUGUAAAUUUUUAUUGCUACGUUGCUGUAGGAAGCUUUCUUUUACAGGUUCUCUAAAAUCCUUCGUUAUUUUUUUAUUGCCUGUCAAUUUUAUUGCUACGUGGCUGUAGGGUGCUUUGCUUAAGAGUUUCUCUAAAAUCGUUCUUUCUCUUUAUUUUACUGCCUGUCAAUUUUAUUGCUUUGUUCCUGUAGGGAGCUUUGCUUUAGAAUUCGCCUAAGACCCUUCGUUCUCUUUAUUUAACUGCCUGUCAAUUUUUCAUUCUACGUUGCUGUAGGGAGUUUUGCUUUAGAGUUUCUCUAAAAUCCUUUUUUCUCUUUAUUUUACUGCCUGUCAAUUUUUUUUGUUACGUUGCUGUAGGGAGCUUUGCUUUAGAGUUUCUCUAAAAUCCUUCGUUCUCUUUUUUUUACUGUAUGUCAAUUUUAAUUGCUAUGUUCCUGUAGGGAGCUUUGCUUUAGAAUUUCCCUAAGACCCUUCGUUCUCUUUAUUUUACUGCCUGCCAAUUUUUCAUGCUACGUUGCUGUACGGAGCUUUGCUUUAGAGUUUCUCUAAAAUCCUUUUUUCUCCUUAUUUAACUGCUUGUCAAUUUUUCAUUCUACGUUGCUGUAGGGAGCUUUGCUCUAGAGUUUCUCUAAAAUCCUUCGUUUUCUUUUUUUAACUGUCUGUAAAUUUUUAUUGCUACGUUGCAAUAGGAAGAUUUGCUUCAGAGUUUCUCUAAAUUCUUUCUCUUUAGCAUCUCUUUAGCAGCCUUGAUACCCUCAGAUGACAAAAAUACAAUAGGCAGUUGACUAAAAAUAUAUUUUUGCAGGGUAUUAAUCCAAAGAUUUCAUGAUUUUAUUCAAUUUUUAUAAUGAUGUCAACCUUCAGUUAAAAAUAUUUUUGUGUUGCACAUUGACAGUUUCUUUUACCUUUAGUAAAUUAUGCUGUAUUUUUUAUUACAAAUUUUUACAGUUUAUUAUUAUCAUCGUUUUUUAUAAGGAGAUAAAUUUGCACUUUGGCAGUAUCCAGGACGGCGUGCAAUCUCCUUAAACCCCCAAAAGGAUGAAAUUUCCGCCUUUCUCUGUUCACGUAAAAAAUAACCAAAACCAUUGGUACCAAAUAGAUGUAGGAAAUGCAUGUUUUUUUUUCAUCAUAAUAUAGCCUUUCUGGGUGGGUUAUUAAACGUUCCUAAAAAUUUUCCUUUUUCUCAAGCCUGCGAGUUGCUUUUUUUUCGGUGAAUAGCCCUUCCCUCUUCCAUGUCCCCUUUUGUGUAAUAGGAAAAGCACCCCUUAACGUGAUAUGUUUAUCUUGAAACUCCAAAUAUUUAUGUAAUCCAUUUCACUGAGGCUGCUC